rnacentral:rRNA from 1 species
GACGAACGCUGGCGGUGUGCUUAACACAUGCCAGUCGAACGGUAAGGCCCUUUCGGGGGUACACGAGUGGCGAACGGGUGAGUAACACGUGAGUAACCUGCCCUCAUCUCUGGGAUAACAGUCGGAAACGGUUGCUAAUACUGGAUAUGAGCUUGCAAGGCAUCUUGUGGGUUGGAAAGAUUUUUUUGGUUGGGGAUGGACUCGCGGCCUAUCAGCUUGUUGGUGAGGUAGUGGCUCACCAAGGCUUCGACGGGUAGCCGGCCUGAGAGGGCGACCGGCCACAUUGGGACUGAGAUACGGCCCAAACUCCUACGGGAGGCAGCAGUGGGGAAUAUUGCACAAUGGACGGAAGUCUGAUGCAGCAACGCCGCGUGCGGGAUGACGGCCUUCGGGUUGUAAACCGCUUUCAAUUGUGACGAAGCUUUUUUGUGACGGUAGCAGUAGAAGAAGCACCGGCUAACUACGUG